GGGGUUGUGGCUCAGUGGUAGAGUGCUUGCCUAGCAUGCAUGAGGCACUAGGAUCGAUCCCCGGCACCA
rnacentral:tRNA from 1 species